UACGUAGGGGGCGAGCGUUGUCCGGAUUUAUUGGGCGUAAAAGGCUUGUAGGUGGCCACGCCAAGUCGGAUGUGAAAUCUCCCGGCUCAACUGGGAGGGGUCAUUCGAUACUGGCGGGCUCGAGGCCGGUAGGGGGAAGCGGAAUUCCCGGUGUAGUGGUGGAAUGCGUAGAUAUCUGGAGGAACACCGGUGGCGAAGGCGGCAUCCUGGACCGGCAUUGACGCUGAGGCGCGAAAGCCAGGGGAGCAAACGGG
rnacentral:rRNA from 1 species